GACGAACGCUGGCGGCGUGCUUAACACAUGCAAGUCGAGCGGUAAGGCCCUUUCGGGGGUACACGAGCGGCGAACGGGUGAGUAACACGUGGGUGACCUGCCCUCAGCUCUGGGAUAAGCCUGGGGAAACUGGGUCUAAUACCGGAUAUGACUCCAUGACGCAUGUUGUGGGGUGAAAGCCUUGUGCGGCUGAGGAUGGGCCCGCGGCCUAUCAGCUUGUUGGUGGGGUGAGGCCUACCAAGGCGACGACGGGUAGCCGGCCUGAGAGGGCGACCGGCCACACUGGGACUGAGACACGGCCCAGACUCCUACGGGAGGCAGCAGUGGGGAAUCUUGCGCAAUGGGCAAAGCCUGACGCAGCGACGCCGCGUGAGGGAUGACGGCCU
rnacentral:rRNA from 1 species